rnacentral:rRNA from 1 species
CCUGACUGCUAUCGGAUUGAUACUAAGCCAUGCGAGUCAUUGUAGUAAUACAAGGCAGACGGCUCAGUAACGCGUAGUCAACCUACCCUAUGGACGGGGAUAACCUCGGGAAACUGAGAAUAAUACCCGAUAGAACAUUAUGCCUGGAAUGGUUUAUGUUUCAAAUAAUUUAUUGCCGUAGGAUGGGACUGCGGCCUAUCAGUUUGUUGGUGAGGUAAUGGCCCACCAAGACUAUUACAGGUACGGGCUCUGAGAGGAGUAGCCCGGAGAUGGGUACUGAGACACGGACCCAGGCCCUAUGGGGCGCAGCAGGCGAGAAAACUUUGCAAUGUGCGAAAGCACGACAAGGUUAAUCCGAGUGGUUUCUGCUAAAGGAACCUUUUAUCGGUCCUAGAAACACCGAUGAAUAAGGGGUGGGCAAGUUCUGGUGUCAGCCGCCGCGGUAAAACCAGCACCUCAAGUGGUCAGGAUGAUUAUUGGGCCUAAAGCAUCCGUAGCCGGCUUUGUUAGUUUUCGGUUAAAUCUGUACGCUUAACGUACAGGCUGCCGGGAAUACUGCAGAGCUAGGGAGUGGGAGAGGUAGACGGUACUCGGUAGGAAGGGGUAAAAUCCUUUGAUCUAUUGAUGACCACCUGUGGCGAAGGCGGUCUACCAGAACACGUCCGACGGUGAGGGAUGAAAGCUGGGGGAGCAAACCGGAUUAGAUACCCGGGUAGUCCCAGCUGUAAACUAUGCAAACUCAGUGAUGCAUUGGCUUGUGGCCAAUGCAGUGCUGCAGGGAAGCCGUUAAGUUUGCCGCCUGGGAAGUACGUACGCAAGUAUGAAACUUAAAGGAAUUGGCGGGGGAGCACCACAAGGGGUGAAGCCUGCGGUUC